rfam:Brachypodium distachyon strain Bd21 chromosome 2, whole genome shotgun sequence.
GAUAUACUCUCUCCGUCCAACAAAAGAUAUCUCAAGUUUGUCAAAAUUUGAAUGUAUUUAGACAUAAUUUACUGUAUAGAUGCAUUCAAAUCUAGUCAAAGUUGAGACAUCCUUUGUUGGACUGAGGAAAUAUAUU